rnacentral:lncRNA from 1 species
GGCUAGGAUGAAAAAUUUUGUCCUGCUUUUUUUUUUAGUUGUAAUCUCUGUCCUGCCUUUUUAUUUUUUACUCUAUUCGGUCCUGCCUUUUUUUUACUAGUUUAUCCUGACCUUUUUUACACAGAUUGUCAUCCUGCCUUUAUUUUUUUACCAAGUUGCUCAUCCUGCCUUUUUUUUUAAUCCAAACUCCUGUCCUGCCUAUUUUUUUCAAAUUUCAUCCUAGCCCCCCAUAAAAAUCAAAUGGUAGCUCCCUUA